rnacentral:tRNA from 1 species
UAAAAAUUAAUAAAUAUAACUAAGUUAAUGAGCUUGAACAAGCAUAU